UACGUAGGGUGCAAGCGUUAAUCGGAAUACUGGGCGUAAAGCGUGCGCAGGCGGUUUUGUAAGUCUGUCGUGAAAUCCCCGGGCUCAACCUGGGAAUUGCGAUGGAGACUGCAAGGCUAGAAUCUGGCAGAGGGGGGUAGAAUUCCACGUGUAGCAGUGAAAUGCGUAGAGAUGUGGAGGAACACCGAUGGCGAAGGCAGCCCCCUGGGUUAACACUGACGCUCAGGCACGAAAGCGUGGGGAGCAAACGAGG
rnacentral:rRNA from 1 species